AUCUAGUGCAAUGGAUAGCACGUUGAACUUCUAAUCCAAAGGUUGUGGAUGCGAAUCCCACCUGGGAUG